CAAAGGAGCAAUCCGCUGAAAGAUGGGCUCGCGUCCGAUUAGGUAGUUGGCGGGGCAAUGGCCCACCAAGCCGACGAUCGGUAGCCGGACUGAGAGGUUGAACGGCCACAUUGGGACUGAGACACGGCCCAGACUCCUACGGGAGGCAGCAGUGAGGGAUAUUGGUCAAUGGGGGAAACCCUGAACCAGCAACGCCGCGUGAGGGAAGACGGUUUUCGGAUUGUAAACCUCUGUCCUCUGUGAAGAUGAUGACGGUAGCAGAGGAGGAAGCUCCGGCUAACUACGUGCCAGCAGCCGCGGUAAUACGUAGGGAGCAAGCGUUGUCCGGAUUUACUGGGUGUAAAGGGUGCGUAGGCGGCUUUGCAAGUCAGAAGUGAAAUCCAUGGGCUUAACCCAUGAACUGCUUUUGAAACUGCAGAGCUUGAGUGGAGUAGAGGUAGGCGGAAUUCCCGGUGUAGCGGUGAAAUGCGUAGAGAUCGGGAGGAACACCAGUGGCGAAGGCGGCCUGCUGGGCUCUAACUGACGCUGAGGCACGAAAGCGUGGGUAGCAAACAGGAUUAGAUACCCUGGUAGUCCACGCUGUAAACGAUGAUUACUAGGUGUGGGUGGACUGACCCCAUCC
rnacentral:rRNA from 1 species